rnacentral:rRNA from 1 species
UUUGAAUCUGUCGUCUUUGGCGAUCGAGUUGUAAUCUAGAGAAGUGUUUUCUGCCUUGGACCACACAUAAAUUCCCUGGAAUGGGGUGUCAAAGAGGGUGAGAAUCCCGUUUGUGGUGUGGACUCCCUUGGCUCUGUGAUACACUCUCAACGAGUCGAGUUGUUUGGGAAUGCAGCUCAAAAUGGGUGGUAAAUUCCAUCUAAAGCUAAAUACUGGCGAGAGACCGAUAGCGAACAAGUACCGUGAGGGAAAGAUGAAAAGCACUUUGGAAAGAGAGUGAAACAGUACGUGAAAUUGUUGAAAGGGAAGCGUUUGAAGUCAGUCACGUCGUCUGGGACUCAGCCUUGCUUCUGCUUGGUGUACUUCCCAGUCAACGAGUCAGCAUCAGUUUCGACCGUGGGAGAAAGACUUGGGGAAUGUGGCUCCUCGGAGUGUUAUAGCCUCUUGUUGUAUGUCUCGGUUGGGACUGAGGAUCGCAGCGCGCCUUACGGCCGGGGUUCGCGCCCUCGGUACGCGCUUAGGAUGUUGGCAUAAUGGCUUUAAGCGACCCGUCUUGAAACACGGACCAAGGAGUCUAACAUGUGCGCAAGUGUUUAGGUGUUAAACCUGGGCGCGUAAUGAAAGUGAAAGGUCGGGAUCAUGUACUUGUGCACCGACGCCCGGAGCAGACCUUCUGUGACGCAUCCGCGGUAGAGCGUAUAUGUUGGGACCCGAAAGAUGGUGAACUAUGCCUGAAUAGGGUGAAGUCAGAGGAAACUCUGAUGGAGGCUCGUAGCGAUUCUGACGUGCAAAUCGAUCGUCAAAUUUGGGUAUAGGGGCGAAAGACUAAUCGAACCAUCUAGUAGCUGGUUCCUGCCGAAGUUUCCCUCAGGAUAG